GGCGGAACAAUCGCGUGGUAUUGUGCCGAAAGGUAUUAUCAUGAGGAAAGUCCGGGCUUCAUAGGGCAGGGAUAACGGAUAACGUCCGCCGAAGGUGACUUCCGGGAAAGUGCAACAGAAAUAGACCGCCGCGAAAGCGGUAAGGAUGGAAAGGCGAGGUAAGAGCUCACCGACCGACAGGUAACUGCCGGUGCCAUGUAAACCCUAUCCGAAGCAACGCCCCGCGUUUACACGGUUUUGCCCGACCAAAACGAAAGUUUGGCGCGAGGCGGCAAUUCAAGAAAUUGAAUAAGGCGUAUGGCGACAUACGUCGCAGAUAGAUGAUUGUUCUCGACAGAACCCGGCUUACACGCCCAGUC
rnacentral:RNase_P_RNA from 1 species